rnacentral:piRNA from 1 species
UGCUCACUUAAAGAUCAUCUUUUUAAUGCC